GGUGUUUUGUUUACGCUUUAUUAGCUACGUAAAACGGCGAUGGUGGAACGGUCGAAGAUCAAUACGAGAUGCCUGAACAAGAUUCAUAUGAGUGGGGCAACGAUCCAGGUAUCACGUUUCCAGAGUGACCCCGCUGUGACCUCCGUAACGUACCGCUUUCAUUACACGUCACUUUCAUCACCCAAGUGGAAUUAUCAGUGCAUUGACUGGAAUCUGACAGCGUGGUGGGUGGUGAAAGCUUGGCUAGGUGCUGUGUAAUAUUGUGACUUUGUACCUUAAGUAGACAACAACAUUGCAUCUAUAUUUAUCAGAGUAUAGUGACAGUCCGCACUACGGAUUCGAUCUUUACCUUGUCUGGAAAGGUAGUAAGUAGAUCUAUAAUCAACGAGAGACCGAUUGAGACAAAAGAAGAGUAGGCUAUUAGCAUCCCAUGUAUCCUCUCUAUGAUUCCGGCGAUAUGGAUCAGGACAGCCGUGUACCUGGCGCCUGCCACCCUCGCUCUGCCCUGCUCUUGGCUCUUCCCUGUGAGAGACUGGCUGAGUUUGGAGACGCCAGGCUGCCAGGGCCCUGGAGCAGCGCAUAGAAGAGGAGCCCUUCCAGCCAUUUGAAACCAGCCUGAGAGAGAGAGAAAAGCUUUUGUUUUCCAUGGACACAAAGGGACUUUCCUAGGAACACGUUCAACAAUUUGCUGAAGUUCGACCUUCCUGAAUUAUUGAUGACAGCUGAUGUGUGAAGCUACAGCAAUCAGUGUUGCCUUCACACAACAAAAAAAGAACUUGCCACACCAUGCUACAUCUCAUUUAGACGUAGUGCCGCCAUCUUUCUUUGCUAAAUAAACCCUCCAGGCCGUAUAGGUUGCCCUAGUUCUUCAGCCGCAGUUUUGGGGGAUAGAGGUGCAUUGUGGCCGUUUAAAUGUGAAUGCAGAGAAUUAGUACGACCUCUGUGCUCCACAAUGACAAUCAACACUCGGGUGGGAAGACGUCCGCAGGCCUCCCUGUGCUCCGCCCACAGUCGCCUCCCAGGUGUGUUCCCCUCCCCCCCCACCUGCUGUGACUCUCUGAAUGGAGAGGAAUGCAAAUGUGUACACCUAAUGCCUCACGCACCAAGGGGCCGUUUCAGCUGGGGCCUGUCUGUUUCAAAGAGCCCCGUCCACUGUAGUCAAUGGUUUCUUCCACAUUACUGCCACUGUCACUGUAGAACAAUGGACCUGCUGUGCCAUCAGCCGGCUUUGCCUUGCUUUCUCUCAUGUCACCCGGUGAGUUCAGCCCUGCUUGAUCACAUAUACAUUGAGACCUCGUGGAUCAAACCUCCAGGCCUGCCACUCAAAGUCUCAGUCACACAAUGAGUGCAUCACUUGUGACUGACAUUAAAUAUUUAUCGCAGAUGGACUUUUGCAUGGGAGAUAUGAUGUAUGUCACAACAUAUUACGUCAACCUGAGCAAUUUUCUCAGUCUUUAUGGGUCUGCGUUUGCCAGAGGAUUACAAGUCUUCAGAACAGUAGGCUUCAUUUUUAUAAUUGUUUCAUGCUUCCUCUCAUUUUGAAUAGACAACCAAGGCACUCAUAAUUAAGCAUCUACUGUUAAUUUUUUACAUGUUGUCCAGUCUUUUCCAAAGCUUUGGACUACAGUUUGAAUAUGCACAUUUCUGCUCGUUCCCUAAUAUUGGGGCUUUCAUCACCCAAAUGUUUCCCAUCAAUCCAGUUGUCAUUUUCCUCAGAACCGAUGUUGAGUAAAAGCAAGCACCUUGUGAAGAAGAUGCUCAAUGGCAGCACUCUUGUGUGUUUGCCUCCCACAGAAGGCUGAGUGGUACAUGGCAGCCAUCAGGCAUGCCAGUUUUCAUGAUUCAACACAGAUGAUUUUGGCAGGCUGGGAGCUGGGGCAUGACAGCUUGAUGUGACGUGCUUGGGUUGUGGAAAAAGACUCUCUCAUCCAGGCCACCCAGGAGGAAUGAACUCACUUAGUGAAAAGGCUCACCCCCUUCUAACAAGAGUAAACAUGAGGAUGUUUUUGCUGUACAUCAAAAUACCCGGCAUAUAUUACAAGUACGUGCUCUUGCUCUUCACAUAUGCAUACAUUAUAGGACAUUUUGUAAAAUUAUAUUGAACAGGUCAGAUAUAUUUAACCAAUGUUUUGUAAUGCAGGACAUAAAUCUACCUUCACAAAAUAGAUCAUAAUCAAUUCCUUAUAUUUGGAUUUCAUGUAUUUUAUUUUUAUCUUGCAUAUAAUUUGUUUAGAUAUAGUGCAAUAAAUAAAAGGAAGAACAAUACACCAGUGAAAUAAUCCAGGUGAAACAUUGCUUAUUUUUGUGUGCUGAUGUUUGUUGUAUUGUAUGCUGAAAACAAAUGGAAAGAAUUAUUUGUUUAUCUUAAGCACCUGAAGAAACGUUAUAUUAGUAUCCUGGAUUGUGUGGUACCUUGAACUGCUUAAAUACGCAAUUUGACAAAUAUUAUUUUUUAUGCGGGUUAAGCUUUGCAAACAAUCAAGAGCUGGAGUUCAGUCUCCCACCGCAGCGGUGUUGAGCCUGGUAUGUGUGUUAAGUCGGCUCUGGUAGGAGCGUGUGUGAGUGUGCGUGCUUGCAUGGCGAGGGAUGAAUGACCCCACCCCCACCCCUGUAACCGUCAUGCUACACGCAGCUGAGAGAAAGCCUGCUGCUGGGGGCUUGAGAAUGGCGAACCGCAGGGGCAGUUUCUGACUCAUCCAUCCAGUGAGGUCGUAAACGUCAGCGAUGUGGUCAGCGCUCCUCGGCCUGGGUCUGUUUUCGCUCCCGCUGCGUUAAAAGAGCCUUUUGUUGAGUGCCAGGGUAAGAGGGUAAAAGGCCUCCUCCAACAGCAUUUACCUCCCCCUUCCCCCUCCUCCAUCACACACUACAGAGAAAGGCCUUGUCCUUUCUCUAACACUGAGCAGGCCUGGUUUUCUCUACAAUGCCUGCGGUCAAAAUGUCAGCCAAGCUGUGCAGUGGGAAAUGUCUCAUGCGCAGAGAUUAGACCUACGGAAAAACCGAAAAGGCAUUUUCAUUUCCUAUCGCAGUCCUCAGGGAUGUGGACCUUAAGUGCUGGUUUGUUAAGAAAAUAUAUCCCCCCUUCCCCCACCAAAAAAGAAUGACCACCAGUCAUUUUUUAAUUGAAAA